UGACGUCGAUGACCUGAAAGGAGAAUCUACUCCAUCUGAUUAUUUUGUACUAGAUGCAUCCACCGGAGACCUGUGUUUGGAUCAAACUGAACCAGCACCAUGCAGCAAGAACACGACCGGCACUCAGACGAUUGAUGCGGAUCACACGGACAAGGAAAAGGACAUCAAACCAGUGGAAGGCGCUAAAACAGACAAAGUGUUCUGGUGGAGGAGGAGGGAUGGACAAGACGGCAAAGGAACAGAGAAGGGAAGCCAUUCAGAACAGGAGUGGACGGAAGCCCGGGGGCGAUCGAGAACGGAAGAUGCAGUCAAA